AGCAGAAUUCUAGCAAUAGAUGGCGCCGUUGCGCUGUGCUAGCUCUGAUUUCAGUCAGGGAUUGCACAAUCUCAAAUAAAACAGGCUGCACGGUCUCGCAUUUGGAAAUUUUCACAAUGAAUAUUAGACUUAAAAUAAAACCAAAUCAGACCAGAGAACGUGAUCGAAAAUAAUUGUAUUUAAUUAUUGUUUACUUUUUUUACUCUUCCUCACCGGCCUGCACAUCCCUGCAUGAGUUACAGUUCUGUUGUACCAGUUAGCGUUUUGAACGAGCGAAUGACUUCUGGGUAAGCAUAAA